CACCUGUGUCACCAUUCCGGAGCUGCAAACAACAGUAACUUGUUAAAUAUAUUUUUAAAGUUAGGUCGAGCUUUAUGAGUUCAGUAGUGGGGAGAAAUGUGUAAAAACAAAAACCAGACGAGACACAAGUUCUGCCAGAGUAAAGUCCAAGUGAACAUUGUAUUGAAGGAAAUGGGCCUUGAACAAGUUUCCCCAACCCUGCCUACCAUCACCCCAUCGUGUUUCAAAAGCCAGUCAGAAUCAGUGUCUUUCUGUUGGCCAGGGGGUGAUGAAAUGUAAAGUCGUUCUGGCAGUGGGCUCCACUGAUCAAUCCAAAAAAACUGGACUGUGUCUAAAGAAAACCUGUGUCCCCAGAACAACUUUCUGUAUGUGUGUGCGUGUGUGUGUGUGUGUGAGAGAGAUCAGAUGUGCAUAUCUGUAUCUGUACACACUGUGGCCCUCAUUUAUCAAACGAACUUGGAAAUGAGCACACAUCUGAUCGUAGGAAUGAUCUUACGAUUGGAUCCAUGUGUG